GAUAAGAACGUAGCGAAAUGCGAUAAGUAAUGUGAAUUGCAGAAUUCAGUGAAUCAUCGAAUCUUUGAACGCACAUUGCGCCCCUUGGUAUUCCGAGGGGCAUGCCUGUUCGAGCGUCAUUAUCACCCCUCAAGCUUUGCUUGGUGUUGGGGCCUGCUGUAAUAGGCAGCCCUUAAAAUCAGUGGCGGUGCUUCAAGGCUCUAAGCGUAGUAAUUCUCCUCGCUAUAGUGUCUAGUGGUUGCCAGCCAGAACCCCCCAAUUUUCAUGAUUGACCUCGGAUCAGGUAGGGAUACCCGCUGAACUUAAGCAUAUCAAUAAGCGGAGGA
rnacentral:misc_RNA from 1 species